rnacentral:rRNA from 1 species
GACGAACGCUGGCGGCGUGCCUAAUACAUGCAAGUAGAACGCAGUGGGGACGGGUGAGUAACACGUGGGUAACCUACCAUCAGAGGGGAUAACACUUGGAAACAGGGGCUAAACCGAUACUGAUGGAUGGAACCGCGGUGCAUUAGCUAGUUGGGGAGGUAAAGGCACACAAAGGCCAGGAGGCAUAGUCUACCUGAGAGGGUGAUCGGCCCCACUGGGACUGGGACACGGCCCAGACUCCUACGGGAGGCAGCAGUAGGGAAUCUUCGGCAAUGGACGAAAGUCUGACCGAGAAACGCCGCGUGAGUGAAGAAGGUUUUCGGAUCGUAAAACUCUGUUGUUAGAGAAGCGGUAUCUAACCAGAAAGCCACGGCUAACUACGUGCCAGCCGCCGCGGUAAUAC